GCCGCCGUUGCCCGGGCCCCGCCGCCGUUGCUAGGCGACCGCUGCUGCCGUGGCCGCCUCUGUCACGAGCCCCGUCGCCCGGAGACAACGCGAGAGAGACGGGGGAGGGGGGCAAGGAGACCCCCAAAACCAACCGGGCCACCCACCAUCCCUUUCUGAGCAGGACCCCCCCUCAAACCACGGAGGGAACGAGGGUUCUCGGCUCCACCCAGCAGAGGAGGAGCCCUGGAUUCCUAUGUCCCUCAAAGGUCCGGCGACCUCUCCCGGGCUGGAGAGUCCACAUCCUCAGCAAACACCUUUGCAUACCCAAGCCCCCAAGGACCCUAUGUCCCCUGCACAUCCUCCAUGCUUUUUACAUAUUCCAUGCCACCUGAAGACCCUAAACAUUCAACAGCUAUCAACUCUCACUAACCCCCCAAUAUAUGUACCCCUGAAAGCCUUUCCAGCCCGACUGAACCCCAAUAUAGCAACCUCCACAUAUGACCCCAACCCCAAACACACACGGUGCCCCCACCCAAAACACACAGGAGACCCAUGCCAAAGACCCCAGACCCUGAGGAGAAGGAUGGGGAAUAUGUGGGCAGAUCAGCCAACCACAAGACACAUAAACAUGCACCGUAAGCAUGUGACCAUUUUGGCCUGGGCAUACAGGUGUACACACGUGCACACAAACACCUUUCCCAGACAUGGACAUAACAUACUCACAUAUACACAUACACAGAUGUGAUAGACAUCACAUGCACAUCCUCUUUAUACACUCCACCACCACCACCUGGCUUUGCCUCACAGAGAUGUGCUACCCACAUGCCCCCAUGGUCAGAGUUUUCCAUGACAAUAACACACAUCCCUGACCACUCACCCACCCACCCAGGGUCCCAGGGCUGGCUCCCAAGGACAAUGAAGCCUGCACCUAUCAAAAAGAAGCACCAAGAAAACAGUCAAACGUCGCUGCAGGAGAGGAAAAAGGGAGCGAAGCCGAGCAACGACCCGCUGGGGCCUCUCACCCACAGCCCCUGGCCCUCCAUAUCCCAGAGGAGGGCGCCAUCUCCGCUCAGAAAGCCAGACUCAGUCUCCGCCUCUGCCCGCCCCCGCCAGCUCCCUUCGUUCCCGGACGCCCGCGCCCCUCCAGCCCUCCCCGCCCCUCUCCGGGGCACGAGAGCCUGCGCGGCCGCCGUACCAUGCUCGCCGUGGGGCCGCCCCUCCACCGGCACGGAGACGGUCCCUCAAUGUCCUCUCCCUGCAUUUUGCCCCGUGGUGGAGAAAGGACUAAGAAUGGUCUUUUUCCACCCUUCUCACCCUGCUCACCUCAUCCUCAUCCAGCAUGAGCAGCUGGUUUCCCGAGAUGAUGCAGAACCGAGGAUUCCAACCAGGUCGAUCAUAUGGGGAAUGAACGUAUUGGGUUCGGUGCAUAGGGGGUCCCCGUACAUCUGGGGGACAGAGACACACAGAUACAAUAAGGGAGGCUCUAUGCAUAUGGGAGCAGAGGCCUAAAAUGGCAAGAAGAGCUCCCACAAACUGGGAGAACGGGACCCCACCCAUCUUGAGAUCAUAGUUGACGGUGAGGCACCUGGUAACUUUAAGGAACACGAGACAAGCCUUUACAUCUGGGAAAAAGAGACAAGGAGAAUCACAUCACAGGAGGCUUUGUGGAAUUGGGGGAAGAAAUACAGAGGGGUGGUUCAGGGAGGAGAAUUCUAUCAUGACAGAGAGGGUACACAUUUGGGAGCAGAGAAAGGUGAGGGACCUUUCCAUCCAUUUGAGGAAAAUAGAAAGGUACAGUUGCAGAAAAAUUGGCAGAAGAAAAACACACAGAGAGGUUGGUGGCAGGUAUCUGGGAAAAGGAAGGGCAUCCAAAUAACUGCAGAAGACAAGAACUUGGAAGGCUGGCACUACCCACCUGCAAGAGAGUAAGAGGAAAGCUACACAGCUGUAGAAAAGAAGGAUGGGGGUGUGUGAAGUAACACUGGGAUCAUGAGACUCUGAGAGCUCAACAUCAGGAAAAGAAAGGAAGUGGGAGAGCUUACCUGUUUACAGAGUCAGAGACAUGACAGGGCCUCCCCCCCCCACCUCUCCUUUCUCCUCUGCACCCUCCUCCCCAGUUCAACCUGUUCAUCCUUUGAAGAGAGUUCUGAUUCUUGUGGUAAGGAGAAGAUGGCUUUUGUCAGCAUCUGACUGUGGAAGGGCCAGGGCAGGAGAAGGUGGGAAAUAUGCCCUUGUUUGGGUGAGCAGAGACCAAAUUGAUCUCUUGCCCCAUUCUAUGUCCAUAGCAUAAAGAUCCAAUAUUAUCUCCCCCCAGCCCCUACCUAAUCUCCAUGGACAGGACAGAAGCCAACACCACAAAUUAGGAGCAUCCCCAAGGCACAGUGAGGAGCCUAAGGAUGAAGAGGGUGGGGAAGACAGGAAUAUCCAGGCCCGAUGACAUAUAAGGGCCUCCAAAGAUGAGAGCUGGAGAUGAGAACAAAACUUCCAGAAGAGCAGAAUAGUAGACCAAGUGUCGUCCAUGCUCAGAGAUGCCCCAAGGAUCCCUGUUUCCCAACUUUGCUGUUCCUCUUGCUAUGCCUUUUCUUCCUGCAAACUACUUCUCCUUUUAACCCUAAGGCUGCAUACCAUCACAGGGACACAAGACAGAGCACAUUGAGGUAAGAGAAGUCAGAUCGGGGAUACCAAAGUGAUAAAAUUAGGCUUAAGGUAUCACAGUGAGAGAGAGUUUAGAGGAAGAAAAAUCAAAUUCUGUCACCUUUGUGGGAUAAUUAACCAUGGGUAUACAGCAGAACUGGCCUUUGAACUUCCUUCCUACAGAAUGUCCUGAGUAGGAGAGUUUUGAAAAAUCCAGCCCUUUUCUGUCUGCAAAUAUGUCCUUCAAAUUUACCCAACCUCUAGAUCAGAGUUAAGAAAUGAGCCCCCAGAAGGUCCACUGUCUAGAAAGCACAGUACUUUGAAACUUUACCUCAAUGCCAUCUCGGGGCCUUUAACUAAUACUCUGUAGAUACAGAGAUCACCAAUACCUAGGUUCUGACUGCACACAUUGCAGGCAGCAUGCCCACCACACUCACACACUCAGUACACCCAGAGGAGAAAUCUGUUGGUACACAUAAUCAUUUUGGGAGGAGCUGGUUCAGGCUGCAGCCAAGAGAGGGAGGUUAGACUUCAGGGGGCACUUUUUUCCUGGGAGCAGGGAAGGACACAAGGAACUUAGCUUAGGAGCAACUCUGGAAACACACACACACACACACACAUUCUGGAUUUAGGAAAGAAUGAUUCUGGGAGGCAGAUUCAAGAGGCAGAGGAACAUGGCUGAGAAAGGAGGGAAAUUUACUAGGAUGAGAAAUCCCACAAGAUGGGAUUUCUCAGAUGGGGAUCCCUUGUAGCCCCUGUUCUAACCAUCAAAACCUAUGUCUUUAUACCUCAAAUCUCCAGCACCCCAGGAGACAAGAGGAAUGGUGGUAAGAGCUGAGGUAUUAAGGGAAAGUGGUAGGCACAGACUUGUGGUGACAAGAUGGGGAGUGGGGUAUAGAACAGAGAAUGGGCUGGGGGAUGUGUAACAGUGAUCAUCUAAAAGAGAAGGCAGAGAUGAUGGUAAAUACUUAGGGACAAGGGAAUACACCAGAAGGGCUCAACUGGACAUGGGGCAGAGGAAAUGAGGCAGACCUAGCAAGGAGGCCAGGACAAGGGGGUCAAGAAGGAGGGGGUGGAGAGAUGGCAGAAAUAUGAGGGAGCUACCAUACAGAAGAGAGGGGGAGAGAGAAUAGGCAUCAGAGGGGGACUGAUAUAGGGGAAGGACAGAAGGGGGACUCAUAUAAGGAACGGACACCAUAUGGGGGGAAAGAUAUAGGUGAUGGACAGCAGAGGAGGGAGGAGGAAUGCAAAUAGGAUUGGAAGUGGGGGAAGGGGUAAAAGUGAUGAAGUGAAGAGAGUGAUAAGACCCCAGGGGCUACAUUUCACUGGUCAAGAGCCUUAAUGAGGAUCUUAACCUGGCCCUAUUCCCAUCAUUCAAUCAUCCUUGUACCUGCACGCCACCCUCCCUCAAAUACACACAUAAUUUGGCCCUCCCCCUGCCCUUGUCUCCCCUCCCCCAACCCAAUUCCUCUCUCUCCUCUCUUCCCUCCAUCUGGACCCUCCAUC